UUAAGACUAGAUGGGUAUCCCUACAUAGCGGGUGGGACCCACGGCGAAUGGUUCAUCAAGUCUUCAAAAAAGAAUAUAUACGAUUGCAUUGCAAAUACUA
rnacentral:rRNA from 1 species